CUUGAGUUUGAUCAUGGCUCAGAUUGAACGCUGGCGGCAUGCCUUACACAUGCAAGUCGAACGGCAGCGCGGACUUCGGUCUGGCGGCGAGUGGCGAACGGGUGAGUAACAUAUCGGAACGUGCCAGGAAGUGGGGGAUAACUAGUCGAAAGAUUAGCUAAUACCGCAUACGCCCCAAGGGGGAAAGUGGGGGAUCGCAAGACCUCACGCUUGCUGAGCGGCCGAUAUCUGAUUAGCUAGUUGGUAGGGUAAAAGCCUACCAAGGCGACGAUCAGUAGCUGGUCUGAGAGGACGACCAGCCACACUGGGACUGAGACACGGCCCAGACUCCUACGGGAGGCAGCAGUGGGGAAUAUUGGACAAUGGGCGAAAGCCUGAUCCAGCCAUGCCGCGUGUGUGAAGAAGGUCUUCGGAUUGUAAAGCACUUUAAGUUGGGAGGAAGGGCAUUAACCUAAUACGUUAGUGUUUUGACGUUACCGACAGAAUAAGCACCGGCUAACUUCGUGCCAGC
rnacentral:rRNA from 1 species